CGAACCGCGACGGGAGAGCUCGCGCCGUGCCCCACCAGGGGACGGCCGGCGCCGAAGGAGCAACCCUCCCCGGGAAACUCUCAGGCAUCCGUACCGUCGUGGCGAG
rnacentral:ncRNA from 2 species